rnacentral:misc_RNA from 1 species
GAUGAAGAACGUAGCGAAAUGCGAUAAGUAGUGUGAAUUGCAGAAUUCAGUGAAUCAUCGAAUCUUUGAACGCACAUUGCGCCCCUCGGUAUUCCGUGGGGCACGCCUGUUCGAGCGUCAUUUACACCCUCAAGCGCAGCUUGGUGUUGGGCGUCUGUCCCGCUCUCCGUAGCGCGGACUCGCCUCAAAGUCAUUGGCGGCGGUCGUGCCGGCUCCUCGCGCAGCACAUUUGCGCUUCUCGGAGGCCCGGCGGAUCGGCAUCCAGCAAGCUACUUUUUAUGACUUGACCUCGGAUCAGGUGAGGAUACCCGCUGAACUUAAGCAUAUCAAUAAGCGGAAGA